GGUAUACACAGAAUCAAAAUAUCACAAUUCGAGCAGAAGAACAAAUACAAAUGGUGAACCGAACAGAGUCAGAGCCUGCAUACACAUCUUUUCCCCAAGAUGGAUGGGAGACGCAGAGUUGGCAGGACCUUCUGACCUGUCAUGGCUGUUUGAAAGACACACGUUUGCAACUGCAACAGAAAUGGAGACAGGGCAAGGAGAGAAAAGCAGAGAGGCAGAGAGAAGCCGAGGAGACAAAAUAUAUAACAGCAAGGAUACUGGAGUAAACGCUGGAAACUAUGAAUCCGAAAAUGGUUUUGAAUGGUCCUGCUCUGUGCGGACUGAUUUCCGCUUCAGCCUCCACAUGGAGACAAUGUGGAGCCUAUAUCUGAUCAAAAGGAAAUGUUGCGU